GACGAACGCUGGCGGCGUGCUUAACACAUGCAAGUCGAACGGUGAAGCGCCUUCCUUUUUGGUGGGUGUGGAUGAGUGGCGAACGGGUGAGUAACACGUGAGUAACCUGCCCCCUUCUUCUGGAUAACCGCAUGAAAGUGUGGCUAAUACGGGAUAUUCUGGGUCUGUCGCAUGAUGGGUCUGGGAAAGAUAUUGUUUCGGUGGGGGAUGGGCUCGCGGCCUAUCAGCUUGUUGGUGGGGUGAUGGCCUACCAAGGCGGUGACGGGUAGCCGGCCUGAGAGGGUGGACGGUCACACGGGGACUGAGACGCGGCCCAGACUCCUACGGGAGGCAGCAGUGGGGAAUAGUGCACAAUGGGCGCAAGCCUGAUGCAGCGACGCCGCGUGAGGGAUGGAGGCCUUCGGGUUGUGAACCUCUUUCGCCAGUGAAGCAGGCCUGCCUCGUUUGUGGGCGGGUUGACGGUAGCUGGAUAAGAAGCGCCGGCUAACUACGUG
rnacentral:rRNA from 1 species